GAAAUGCGAUAAGUAGUGUGAAUUGCAGAAUUCAGUGAAUCAUCGAAUCUUUGAACGCACAUUGCGCCCUUUGGUAUUCCAAAGGGCAUGCCUGUUCGAGCGUCAUCUGUACCCUCAAGCUUUGCUUGGUGUUGGGCGUCUUGUCUCUAGCUUUGCUGGAGACUCGCCUUAAAGUAAUUGGCAGCCGGCCUACUGGUUUCGGAGCGCAGCACAAGUCGCACUCUCUAUCAGCAAAGGUCUAGCAUCCAUUAAGCCUUUUUUUCAACUUUUGACCUCGGAUCAGGUAGGGAUACCCGCUGAACUUAAGC
rnacentral:misc_RNA from 1 species